rnacentral:misc_RNA from 1 species
UCAAACUUGGUCAUUUAGAGGAAGUAAAAGUCGUAACAAGGUCUCCGUAGGUGAACCUGCGGAGGGAUCAUUACACAAAUAAACAUGGAAAGGCUGCCCGCGGCCGGUGUUUCCCCUUCUCGGGAGGCGCCAGUUGGCGGACGCUGGACUAUUUUAUUACCCUUGUCUUUUGCGCACUUGUUGUUUCCUGGGCGGGUUCGCCCGCCACCAGGACCACACUAUAAACCUUUUGUAUGCAGUUGCAAUCAGCGUCAGUACAACAAAUGUAAAAUCAUUUACAACUUUCAACAACGGAUCUCUUGGUUCUGGCAUCGAUGAAGAACGCAGC